UGGGGAAUUUUGGACAAUGGGGGAAACCCUGAUCCAGCCAUCCCGCGUGUGCGAUGAAGGCCUUCGGGUUGUAAAGCACUUUUGUCAGGAAAGAAACGCCAUGGGUUAAUACCCCGUGAAACUGACGGUACCUGCAGAAUAAGCACCGGCUAACUACGUGCCAGCAGCCGCGGUAAUACGUAGGGUGCAAGCGUUAAUCGGAAUUACUGGGCGUAAUGCGUGCGCAGGCGGUUCGGAAAGGAAGAUGUGAAAUCCCAGGUCUCAACUUUGGAACUGCAUUUUUAACUACCGGGCUAGAGUGUGUCAGAGGGAGGUGGAAUUCCGCGUGUAGCAGUGAAAUGCGUAGAUAUGCGGAGGAACACCGAUGGCGAAGGCAGCCUCCUGACAUAACACUGGCGCUCAUGCACGAAAGCGUGGGGAGCAAACAGG
rnacentral:rRNA from 1 species